rnacentral:rRNA from 1 species
UACGUAGGGGGCAAGCGUUGUCCGGAUUUAUUGGGCGUAAAGAGCGUGUAGGCGGCUUGGUAGGUCUCGCGUCAAAACCUGAGGCUCAACCUCAGUUCGCGUGGGAAACCACCUAGCUAGAGUCCGGAAGAGGAGAACGGAAUUCCCAGUGUAGCGGUGAAAUGCGCAGACAUUGGGAAGAACACCAGUGGCGAAGGCGGCAUCCUGGACCGGUAUUGACGCUGAGGCGCGAAAGCCAGGGGAGCAAACGGG